CCUACGGGAGGCAGCAGUGAGGAAUAUUGGUCAAUGGACGAGAGUCUGAACCAGCCAAGUAGCGUGAAGGAUGACUGCCCUAUGGGUUGUAAACUUCUUUUAUAAAGGAAUAAAACGAGGCACGUGUGCCUUUUUGCAUGUACUUUAUGAAUAAGGAUCGGCUAACUCCGUGCCAGCAGCCGCGGUAAUACGGAGGAUCCGAGCGUUAUCCGGAGUUAUUUGGUUUAAAGGGAGCGUAGAUGGGUUUUUAAGUCAGUUGUGAAAGUUUGCGGCUCAACCGUAAAAUUGCAAUUGAUACUGGCAGUCUUGAGUACAGUUGAGGUAGGCGGAAUUCGUGGUGUAGCGGUGAAAUGCUUAGAUAUCACGAAGAACCCCGAUUGCGAAGGCAGCUUACUAAACUGUGACUGACAUUGAUGCUCGAAAGUGUGGGUAUCAAACAGGAUUAGAGACCCGAGUAGUC
rnacentral:rRNA from 1 species